AUUGAGCGCUGGCGGCAGGCCUAACACAUGCAAGUCGAGCGGAUGAAGGGAGCUUGCUCCUGGAUUCAGCGGCGGACGGGUGAGUAAUGCCUAGGAAUCUGCCUGGUAGUGGGGGAUAACGUCCGGAAACGGGCGCUAAUACCGCAUACGUCCUGAGGGAGAAAGUGGGGGAUCUUCGGACCUCACGCUAUCAGAUGAGCCUAGGUCGGAUUAGCUAGUUGGUGGGGUAAAGGCCUACCAAGGCGACGAUCCGUAACUGGUCUGAGAGGAUGAUCAGUCACACUGGAACUGAGACACGGUCCAGACUCCUACGGGAGGCAGCAGUGGGGAAUAUUGGACAAUGGGCGAAAGCCUGAUCCAGCCAUGCCGCGUGUGUGAAGAAGGUCUUCGGAUUGUAAAGCACUUUAAGUUGGGAGAAAGGGAAGUAAGUUAAUACCUUGCUGUUUUGACGUUACCAACAGAAUAAGCACCGGCUAACUUCGUG
rnacentral:rRNA from 1 species